CUCCAAGGUUCGUUGUGUUCUUCCAGCUCCAUCUAUGAUAAAGAGAAUGAACAACUAGGUGUUUUCCUUCUGGACAAUGAUUAUGACACAGAUUACUGCUGGGACCAGAAGUAUUGCCACUUUGGACAACAUGGAAUAGAAGGAUUAUUGAGAAUCACUUAUAAUGAGAUGUUACUUCAAAUUAGGAAAAAUUUGAUAAACAAAUUUAUAAUACAAAUGAUUAUAAAAACCUAAAGACCACUCGUGACAGAAUUUUUAAAAUGAUGUGUUAAUUAUAAAUACCAGUAUCUUGCUAAUUAAUGUGCCUUGUUUGGGGCAUAUCAAGUGUAUAGCCUAUUAAUAUAAUCUAUCUGGACUGAAAUGCCUUAUUAAGACCCCAUUCUGUAAGAGGUAUUUUAUUCCCUGGUUUUGGUACUUCCUGCCCACUACUAAUUUGAAUUUUUACUAUAGUCAUUCCUAGGAAAUGUUCAAUAAAAAUUUUUAGAUGAAUUGCUCUCAAGCCCAAUUCAAUGCUUGUUAAUUUGUUAAGAAGAUAACUAAUGAGUCUGCUCAUCCAGAAAGGGUAUGAAAAUGAGGAAUUGUGGAGUUGACAAAUGAUGCUUAUGUAGGCAGCUAGUUUUUUUUUUUUUUUUAUAUCGUCAUUCUUUUAGAGGGUCAGUUCAGUUUCUUUUUCUUUUAUUUA
rnacentral:lncRNA from 1 species